rnacentral:rRNA from 1 species
AGAGUUUGAUCCUGGCUCAGGAUGAACGCUAGCGACAGGCUUAACACAUGCAAGUCGAGGGGCAGCGGUGGUGAAGGCUUGCCUUUACCAGCCGGCGACCGGCGCACGGGUGAGUAACACGUAUGCAACCUGCCUACCACAGCCGGAUAAUCGGGAGAAAUCCCGUCUAAUACGGCAUAAUGCACCUAUGGGACAUCCUGUUGGUGCCAAAGGUUAAUUCCGGUGGCGGAUGGGCAUGCGUCGCAUUAGUUAGUUGGCGGUGUAACGGACCACCAAGACGACGAUGCGUAGGGGUUCUGAGAGGAAGGUCCCCCACACUGGUACUGAGACACGGACCAGACUCCUACGGGAGGCAGCAGUGAGGAAUAUUGGUCAAUGGGCGGGAGCCUGAACCAGCCAAGUCGCGUGAGGGAUGACGGCCCUAUGGGUUGUAAACCUCUUUUGCCGGGGAGCAAAGUGCCGCACGUGUGCGGUUUGGAGAGUACCCGGAGAAAAAGCAUCGGCUAACUCCGUGCCAGCAGCCGCGGUAAUACGGAGGAUGCGAGCGUUAUCCGGAUUUUAUUGGGUUUAAAGGGUGCGUAGGCGGACGCUUAAGUCAGCGGUAAAAUUGCGGGGCUCAACCUCGUCGAGCCGUUGAAACUGGGUGCCUUGAGUGGGCGAGAAGUAGCGGCGGAAUUCGUGGUGUAGCGGUGAAAUGCAUAGAUAUCACGCAGAACUCCGAUUGCGAAGGCAGCGUUCCGGCGCCCAACUGACGCUGAAGCUCGAAGGCGUGGGUAUCGAACAGGAUUAGAUACCCUGGUAGUCCACGCAGUAAACGAUGAAU